AACACUGGACUUAGUGGGGGAACAUUCAAACCACAGCACCAGUGGAACAGUGAUUUCAACAGAGUUGGUGAGAUUCAGGCAGGGAUGUCAAAACAAGGCCCUUUGUACACAUGUGUGAUCUUUAAGUCAUGGGUUGGGAGACCUGAUGGAAAGGAAGAGUUGGAAGUUGCAAAAGCCAGGUCACAAAACAUGAAGAACUGAGAAUCCAUGCAGGCGUGGGAAGCCUCUGGCAUUUUUACUAGACCAUCCAGGAGGCUACUGGAGAGGUCCAGGAUCUGCUGUUUCAAGUGUCUGCCUCAGCGAAGUCAUGCUUCCUUUUGGGGUAUUAUACUCGGUUGUCUGUUGCCAUGGAAGUGAGGGCUGGCUGAUUCACACAGGAGGGGGGUGGGGCCCACUAGCAAGCCCUCAAGCACACUGGAUGACUUCAAUUACCUAAAUCCCUGCAGCUUCUCAGAAGACAUCUACAUGGUUUUUUAUGACAUAUGAAUACCUUUGACUUUGAUUUAGAAAUCAAGAUGCAUUUUUAAAAAUCUGUGACCUGCAUGAAAGCAGUCUAUUGAUAAAGCACCAAGAAUAAACGGAACUUUGAA
rnacentral:lncRNA from 1 species